AACGAACGCUGGCGGCAGGCUUAACACAUGCAAGUCGAACGCGUGCAGCAAUGCACGAGUGGCGCACGGGUGAGUAACGAGUGGAUAUCUGCCUUUUGGUUCGGAAUAACCCCGGGAAACUGGGGCUAAUACCGGAUGGUUCCUACGGGAUAAAGAUUUAUCGCCAAAAGAUGAGUCCGCGUCCGAUUAGCUAGUUGGUGAGGUAAUGGCUCACCAAGGCGACGAUCGGUAGCUGGUCUGAGAGGACGAUCAGCCACACUGGGACUGAGACACGGCCCAGACUCCUACGGGAGGCAGCAGUGGGGAAUAUUGGACAAUGGGGGCAACCCUGAUCCAGCCAUGCCGCGUGAGUGAUGAAGGCCUUCGGGUUGUAAAGCUCUUUUGGCGGGGACGAUGAUUACGGUACCCGCAGAAUAAGCCCCGGCUAACUUCGUG
rnacentral:rRNA from 1 species